UACGGCGCACAGCUCAGUAACACGUGGCUAACCUGCCCUUGAGACGGAAACAUCCCCGGGAAACUGGGGCUAAUUUCCGAUAGGUGAAGACUUCUGGAAUGGGUUUUUGCCUAAAGGGCGUUUAGGGCAUGCUUCUAAGCGUUGCCCAAGGAUGGGGCCGCGGCCGAUCAGGUUGUUGGUGAGGUAACGGCUCACCAAGCCUUUAACCGGUGCGGGCCGUGGGAGCGGAAGCCCGGAGAUGGGCACUGAGACAAGGGCCCAGGCCCUACGGGGCGCAGCAGUCGCGCAAACUCUGCAAUACGCGAAAGCGUGACAGGGCUAUCCCGAGUGCCGUCCGCUGAGGAUGGCUUUUCUCUGGUGUAGUGAGCCGGAGGAAUAAGGAGAGGGCAAGUCUGGUGUCAGCCGCCGCGGUAAUACCAGCUCUCCGAGUGGUAGGGACGAUUAUUGGGCCUAAAGCGUCCGUAGCCGGCUAAAUAAGUUUCCCGUUAAAUCCAGCGAUCUAAUCGUUGGCCUGCGGGAAAUACUGUUUGGCUAGGGGGCGAGAGAGGCCAACGGUAUUUCCGGGGUAGGGGUGAAAUCUUAUAAUCCCGGGAGGACCACCAGUGGCGAAGGCUGUUGGCUAGAACGCGCUCGACGGUGAGGGACGAAAGCUGGGGGAGCGAACCGGAUUAGAUACCCGGGUAGUCCCAGCUGUAAACGAUGCAGGCUAGGUGUUUGGACGGCCACGUGCCGUUCUAGUGCCGCAGGGAAGCUGUUAAGCCUGCCGCCUGGGGAGUACGAUCGCAGGAUUGAACUUAAAGGCCA
rnacentral:rRNA from 1 species